UACAGAGGGUGCGAGCGUUGUUCGGAAUCACUGGGCGUAAAGCGCACGUAGGCGGAUUGCUAAGUCAGGGGUGAAAUCCUGGAGCUCAACUCCAGAACUGCCUUCGAUACUGGAGAGCUCGAGUCCGGGAGAGGUGAGUGGAACUGCGAGUGUAGAGGUGAAAUUCGUAGAUAUUCGCAAGAACACCAGUGGCGAAGGCGGCUCACUGGCCCGGUACUGACGCUGAGGUGCGAAAGCGUGGGGAGCAAACAGG
rnacentral:rRNA from 1 species